AUACGGAGGGGGUUAGCGUUGUUCGGAAUUACUGGGCGUAAAGCGCGUGUAGGCGGAUCGUUAAGUCAGGGGUGAAAGCCCGGGGCUCAACCCCGGAACUGCCCUUGAUACUGGCGAUCUAGAGUCCGGAAGAGGUGGGCGGAAUUCCCGGUGUAGAGGUGAAAUUCGUAGAUAUCGGGAGGAACACCAGUGGCGAAGGCGGCUCACUGGUCCGGUACUGACGCUGAGACGCGAAAGCGUGGGGAGCAAACAGGAUUAGAAACCCUUGUAGUCC
rnacentral:rRNA from 1 species